UACGUAGGGGUGCAAGCGUUGUCCGGAAUUAUUGGGCGUAAAGGGCUCGUAGGCGGUCCAUCGCGUCGGGAAGUGAAAAGCUGGGGCUUAACCCCAGUCCUGCUUCCGAUACGGGUGGACUAGAGGUAGGUAGGGGAGACGGAAUUCCUGGUGUAGCGGUGGAAUGCGCAGAUAUCAGGAGGAACACCGAUGGCGAAGGCAGGUCUCUGG
rnacentral:rRNA from 1 species